AAAUAAAAAGCCCUGCAGAUAACUGCAGGGUCCUUCUAUAUCCUUUUCAGGAUAGAAGGCAAAGGGAGAGGAGAAACCGGAGGAAGAACUUAUGGGGAAACGUAAGUCUUCUCCGCGG
rfam:Bacillus sp. 2_A_57_CT2 genomic scaffold supercont1.1, whole genome shotgun sequence.